rnacentral:rRNA from 1 species
AACGAACGCUGGCGGCGUGCCUAACACAUGCAAGUCGUGCGAGAAAGUUCCUUCGGGAGCGAGUAAAGCGGCGCACGGGUGAGUAACACGUAGGUAACCUGCCCCCCAGUCUGGAACAACUAGAGGAAACUCUAGCUAAUGCCGGAUGAGACCACGAUCCCUUCGGGGGUUGCGGCCAAAGAUGGCCUCUACUUGUAAGCUAUCGCUGAGGGAUGGGCCUGCGGGCCAUUAGCUUGUUGGUGAGGUAACGGCUCACCAAGGCUGUGAUGGCUAGCUGGUCUGAGAGGAUGACCAGCCACACUGGGACUGAGACACGGCCCAGUCUCCUACGGGAGGCAGCAGUGGGGAAUAUUGCGCAAUGGGCGAAAGCCUGACGCAGCGACGCCGCGUGGGUGAUGAAGGCCU